ACGCUGGCGGCAGGCUUAACACAUGCAAGUCGAACGGUAACAGGGAUUAGCUUGCUAAUUUGCUGACGAGUGGCGGACGGGUGAGUAAUGCUUGGGAAUCUGGCUUAUGGAGGGGGAUAACUACGGGAAACUGUAGCUAAUACCGCGUAAUAUCGGAAGAUUAAAGGGUGGGACUUUCGAGCCACCUGCCAUAAGAUGAGCCCAAGUGGGAUUAGGUAGUUGGUUAGGUAAAGGCUGACCAAGCCGACGAUCUCUAGCUGGUCUGAGAGGAUGACCAGCCACACUGGAACUGAGACACGGUCCAGACUCCUACGGGAGGCAGCAGAGGGGAAUAUUGCACAAUGGGGGGAACCCUGAUGCAGCCAUGCCGCGUGAAUGAAGAAGGCCUUCGGGUUGUAAAGUUCUUUCGGUGACGAGGAAGGUUGAUAGGUUAAUAGCCUAUCAAAUUGACGUUAAUCACAGAAGAAGCACCGGCUAACUCCGUGCCAGCAGCCGCGGUAAUACGGGGGGUGCGAGCGUUAAUCGGAAUAACUGGGCGUAAAGGGCACGCAGGCGGUGACUUAAGUGAGAUGUGAAAGCCCCGAGCUUAACUUGGGAAUUGCAUUUCAUACUGGGUCGCUAGAGUACUUUAGGGAGGGGUAGAAUUCCACGUGUAGCGGUGAAAUGCGUAGAGAUGUGGAGGAAUACCGAAGGCGAAGGCAGCCCCUUGGGAAUGUACUGACGCUCAUGUGCGAAAGCGUGGGGAGCAAACAGGAUUAGAUACCCUGGUAGUCCACGCUGUAAACGAUGUCGAUUUGGGGAUUGGGCUUUGAGCUUGGUGCCCGUAGCUAACGUGAUAAAUCGACCGCCUGGGGAGUACGGCCGCAAGGUUAAAACUCAAAUGAAUUGACGGGGGCCCGCACAAGCGGUGGAGC
rnacentral:rRNA from 1 species